AUGGGCAAAAUCGUGGGAAGAGAAGCCACCGUUUUAUUCCAACACUUGCUGAAGCUGGGAUGCAUCACCUGUUAUCCGCUGUGGUCCUCCUCAGGGACUACAGGUAUUCACUUCUCAUACGACAUGCUGCUCAAAGGAGGCCAGCUGGUCAGUGAUCAGGUGCAAGGUGCUGUUUAUAACUGCAUGACCUGUCAGUACGACUCCUGUGAGUUCCCGCUGGAUUGCCCUGGUGAGUUGACAGGCUCCUUUACAUGUGUGCAGUUUUGUGUUCAAUAUAUUAUGAUAUGUAAUUCUAUGCAGUCCCCCACUCACCCACUCUCUCCACACUUGACAUGAUGGAUAUGUUAUAACUCAACCUGACAGAACCACCUCUGUAAUUAUGUAACAGCAUUUACGCAGUACAAACAUCUAUUGCUUUUAAAUCUACUUGGGAGCACAGCAAAGUUGUUAAAUGAAACCUUGGGCCUUGACACACUUUUACACAUAAUAUAAUUUCUCACAGAUAGCCCUUUGGGUCACCUAAGAUGGCAGGCCUUCUCCCACACACUGUGGUAUUCAUUUCCACUCAGCACAGCUACAAUUAUUGCUCAGUGUAUCUUUUCUUUGGCUGCUCUCACCAGAGGCUUUGCUUAAAUAUUAUAAUUAGGUGAAUGGUGGGCAGACUGUGCUGCCUCUGUUCUUCUGUCCACAAAAGGCAUUCAGUUGCAAGGUGAAGUGUUACAGAUCUGCGUCUAAUGUAUUGCUGUGUGUGUGUGAUGUAUGUGCUUUUACAGUGAAGGAAAUCAAUGUAAAGGAGAACAACAGAACUCAGAUGUGGUGUAAGGUCCCUUUCCUGCUUCCUACAGAU
rnacentral:lncRNA from 12 species